rnacentral:lncRNA from 1 species
GAUGUGUGUUAUAAUUCUUAUUGUAUAUGAUUUAUUAUACUUUUGUAUAGUGUUUGUUUUACUUGAGUAUGAUGCUUUCAAGCUGGUUGGCCCGAGGAGGCUUCUUCACCAUGGAGUUAGGUGUUGGUACGUCUAAUAGCAAUGUUGGUACGUCUAAUAGCAAGCUCUGCUUCACCUUGUUAGGGUGCGUGCAGAUGAGUAUGUUCUCAAGUGAGGUUGAGAGUUUCUUAAGAGUCAAGGAAAGGGUUAAGAGGCGAAGAGGCAAGGUAGCAACCGUUACGUAAUUAUAACCUGAAAACUAAAAGCUUUCGCUAUUGUUUGUUACAUUACUGAUUAAAUAUCAAAAUUUAAAAGUAUGUAUGUGUCGUUAAUGUGGGGUCAUAUGUGUUUUGAUAUUUUAUGUAAUGGUAAUGAAUGAUAAAUGUUCAGACAAAGUAUAAUAAGAACAACUCGAAACACUCAAUUCUCACUCUAAACAUUGGAUCAGAGUCAUAAUAGUGAGGCCCUCAUUAUUGGGUGUAAAAGUUUAAAAAUGCAUUCAUAUUUUUUACUUACUGAUUACGAUAUCAUGGCAAAUUUGAUUAUGGGUAUAAAUACUUGUUGGAAAAUACCACGUCUUAAACCCAAAUCAGACAAAGGCUACCUUCGUAUUAUAUUAUGGACUGUUAUGCAUAACCAUAACUCUAAAUAUCCUUAUAUUAAUAGUGCGCUUAAUUUAACCAACAUACGUCAUAGUUUGAAAAAACAAAAAUAGUAAAGCAACGACUGCUGAUAAAUAAACAUCAACAUGACAAACAUAAGGUUCCAUAUUCAUCUACCCAGUACGAACCUUCUUAUAAGCAAGCUCAAUUAUCUUAUAAGA